UACAGAGGUCUCAAGCGUUGUUCGGAAUUACUGGGCGUAAAGGGUUCGUAGGUGGCUUGUUAAGUCAGACGUGAAAUCCCUCGGCUCAACCGGGGAACUGCGUCUGAGACUGAUGAGCUCGAGUGCAGGAGAGGAACGCGGAAUUCCAGGUGUAGCGGUGAAACGCGUAGAUAUCUGGAGGAACACCGGUGGCGAAGGCGGCGCUCUGGACUGCAACUGACACUGAGGAACGAAAGCCAGGGGAGCAAACGGG
rnacentral:rRNA from 1 species